GGGCACAUGGUGUAGUUGGUUAUCACGCUCGCUUAGCAUAUGGUAUGGUUUGCGAGAGGUGUUGGGUUCAAUUCCCAAUGCGUCCA
rnacentral:tRNA from 1 species